rnacentral:rRNA from 1 species
GAAUUGCGAUAAGUAAUGUGAAUUGCAGAUUUCCAGUGAAUCAUCGAAUCUUUGAACGCAUCUUGCGCUCCUUGGUAUUCCGAGGAGCAUGCCUGUUUGAGUGUCAUUUGAUUAUCAACCUUCAUUCUUUAGGGAACGAAGGGUUGGAGGUGGGGGUUGCUGGCGGCUAGGGUCGUCAGCUCUCCUUAAAAGCAUUAGCGAUCGAGUUGGGCUAUCAAGUCUUUCGACAUGCACGGCCUUUGACGUGAUAAUGAUCGUCAUGGCUGGAGUGUCUUUCCUGGACUGUGCUACAUAGAUUGCUUCUAACAGACAGAGAUCUUUGAUCUUUCACUCAAGCUUAGCUACUAGGCAGUCUUUUUCUGUUGAAGAAGAGGCUGGCGAAAACAAGCAGAGAGGGAAAGGGAUGGGAUCGAUCCUUGAUCAGCUUAGUUACUAGGCAGUCUUGACUGGCGAACACAAGCGAGAGAGAGGAACGAUAAUAAUGACUUGACCUCAAAUCAGGUAGUACUA